CCAAUUGAGUCCAUCAGUUGGUGAGACCAUCAAGGACAUGUUGAAAGAGUACAACCCAAAUUAUCGGUAUGCAGAAAGCGAAGGAGCACUCUAUCUUGGAUGGAAAAAUAGAGCUUUAGCAACUUCAUCUGCUUGGAGAUGACAUUUUUUAUAGAGCUUUAGCAACUUUAUCUGCUUGGAGAUGACUUUUUUUUUUCCCUAUGAUCUCAACGUUUUAUCUUUUAACCCUUUUCGUUUCUUAC
rnacentral:lncRNA from 1 species